GAGGGCACAGAAUGUGAGACCCCUGCCCAGAAGCCUGGCAGGCAUGAGCUGGGGUCCCCCUUAAGAGAGAUAGCCUUUGCCGAGUCCCUGAGGGGUUUGCAGUUCCUGUCACCGCCUCUUCCCUCCGUGAGCGCUGGCCUGGGGGAACCAAGGCCCCCUGAUGUUGAGUUGCCCCUACAGCCCUCACUGUGAACCCUGAGGCCGGCAGCCCAGCAAAUCUGUGGGCAGAGAGUGGAGAAUCUUGGUGGAUGAGGCUGCGGCGGCGGCAGGAGCAUCUAGAAACGGGAGCGAGCUGGACUGGAACCCUUCCCCUUCCUGGCCACCGCUCUUCGGGCGGCAGCAACCUGAGAUUAAACACCAGACACCCUUGCAGCCAAA
rnacentral:lncRNA from 1 species